rnacentral:lncRNA from 1 species
CUGCGACACAAAAGGAGAUCCCAGCCAAACCUGCUCCAUUCCAGCUUCCCAGGGCUUGUUUAUCUCGCUCACAAAAUCCUAUUUUCCUGUUGCUUUAGGCAUGCUCACAGCUCGUGGGAAGCACCCGCACACGUUUGCUCCAGGGCUGGAAGGAAGCACUGUGGGAAACCUGACUGCCCAUGGCUGUGGAUCGGGAUGGGGCCGUGGUCGCGCUGCUUUCAUGGACCGGUGCUGCCUGCUCCGUGCCUGCUGCUACGCCAGGCUGACUGCACGUCGCUGCCGCGUGGGACAGACCCAACGCCUCCCUGCGCCCCAGCCAGGGGUCCCUGUCUGCAGUAAGUCCCCAUGGCCGUGGUUUAAGAUCCUCACAUCCAACGGCCUUGAGAGUCCCCACUGCCAACCUGGCAGCUCUCUGGGUUCUUCCUACAGCCACCGUCCCAGCGCUGUGCUUCCUCUCGCUCCCGUAGGCUCCGGGACGUGGUGCCAGCGAGCAGCCUGCAGGUGUGAGCGUUUGGCUCUGCUGUGCCGGGCACGCAGACGGGCACUGCGCAGGUGUCGAGGCGGGCGCUGCUGAUGGAGAAGGGCUCCUCGUAAUAAACCCACCUCCAUGCUGGUAAGCAAAGCGGAGCUCGGCGUGGCGCCAGGAGCGCUUCCCGAUCCUCUUCUUCAGGGCUUUUUGGCUACGAUAGGAGAACAACCGCCCUUUUGUGAAGCUGCGUCAUUAGACACUCAUUAGACACUGGGUCUGAGGAGGGAGGGUAGCACAGAUGUAAUGCUUCUGCUCAGAAAAACAAGGGAGGAGCAGACACCUGCGCCUUGUCACAGCAAAGGGCGAGAUGAUGGAAGCAGUCUUGCUGUUGGCAUUCACCCCUUUUGGCUCAAGCUCCCCAUCUGCAAAUCGCUGCACGGAGAUGUUGG